GCUCCGGUGGCUAAGUGGUAGAGCAUGCGCCUCGGAUGCGAAAGGUUGCUAUUUCGAACCCUGGCCGAAUCA